UACAGAGGUGGCGAGCGUUGUUCGGAUUUACUGGGCGUAAAGGGCGCGUAGGAGGCCUCGUGUGUCGACCGUGAAAUCUCCGGGCUCAACCCGGAAAGUGCGGCCGAAACUGCGGGGCUCGAGCAGGGGAUGGGAAAGCGGAACUCAGGGUGUAGCGGUGAAAUGCGUUGAUAUCCUGAAGAACACCGGAGGCGAAGGCGGCUUUCUGGAACCUGGCUGACUCUGAGGCGCGAAAGUGGGGGGAGCAAAC
rnacentral:rRNA from 1 species